UUACGGUCCUAUCACGUUGAAACACCGGUUCACGUACGAUCACAGAAGUUAAGCAACAUCGAGCCGGGUCAGUACCUAGAUGGAUGACCACUCAGGAAUACCAGGUGUUGUAAG